AUAGCGUAUAUUAAAGUUGUUGCAGUUAAAAAGCUCGUAGUUGGAUUUCUGGGAGGGUGCCAAUGUCCGCUCGUUCGCGUGUGCAGCGGCGCCCUUCCAUCCUUCUGUUAACGUUUCUUGGUAUUCAGUUACUGGUUUCGGGCUCAGAUAUUUUACCUUGAGAAAAUUAGAGUGUUUCAGGCAGGCUUGCGCCGGAAUACAUUAGCAUGGAAUAAUAGAAUAGGACUUUAGUCUCCUUUGUUGGUUUGAGGGACUGAAGUAAUGAUUAAUAGGGAUAGUUGGGGGCAUUAGUAUUUAAUCGUCAGAGGUGAAAUUCUUGGAUCGAUUGAAGACUAACUACUG
rnacentral:rRNA from 1 species